rnacentral:piRNA from 1 species
UNCCCAGGUUGCAAAAGGCAUUACUACCUCA